UACAGAGGUCCCAAGCGUUGUUCGGAUUCAUUGGGCGUAAAGGGUGCGUAGGCGGCGCGGUAAGUCGGGUGUGAAAUCUCGGAGCUUAACUCCGAAACUGCAUUCGAUACUGCCGUGCUUGAGGACUGGAGAGGAGACUGGAAUUUACGGUGUAGCGGUGAAAUGCGUAGAUAUCGUAAGGAAGACCAGUGGCGAAGGCGGGGUCUCUGGACAGUUCCUGACGUGAGGCACGAAGGCCAGGGGGAGCAAAACGGGGAUUAGAAA
rnacentral:rRNA from 1 species